rnacentral:tRNA from 1 species
AAUAAAAUGGCUGAGAGUAAGCGAUAAAUUGUAAAUUUAUUUACGAGAAAUAAAUCUCUUUUAUUA